UAAAGAGUUCCUUUUCUCUUCUUGAAUAUAAGCCAUUUAACAAUGUGAGACAUGUCUUUUGUGGUUAUUUGUAAUAUCCUGUAUGUGUCUGGAGUACUUUGAUGCCUUGGAUUGGAAGCUAACUUAAAAGAUGAACUUUUGAGGGUGUGUUUUCUAUUGUGUGGGGCUUUUGUCGAAAUUAGGAUUCCGAAACGCGUUUUUCUACGGUGGGUUCAUUCGACAGCGAUUUACUUUCUUAGAAGUUGCGAGAAGGUAUGUUUUUUAUUGCAAUUAUUGGAAGAUGACAGCUCCAUCUUUAAAAUGAUACCAGGUUCGGAAAAAUUGAUACGUCGGAAAGGCAAGAAAAAUGCUGUGAAAGUUGUCAGUUUUAUAAUGGGACCCUAUGGGAAUCGGAAUUAGUGUAAUAUAACCUUUAAAAAGCACAUUUACUGCAAUUUCAAGGUCACAUGGAUUCGUCUGCAAGCGAGACAAGUAGAAAAUGAAUUUUAAUGAAUGUUUUGAUGAUUUGGGUGCUAAAAUAGAUGAGAGAUGUCAAUAUUUUGGUCCAAAUGGAUGUUUUAGGUGGUUUUGGACUGUUCCGGAUGGGUGGGGGACCUGGUAUGGACAAGUAAGGGUAACAUUUCCAACAAAUCUUAAAUGUAAAUAUUAUUAUGUCCAUAGAUUGAAGUUUCAGGUGGAGAGCAAGAUGAAAAAUAUGCCAAAUUACAUGCAUGCAACCCAUUUAUGCCAUUUUUCUCUUUGUUUGUAGGCCUGACCGUUUGUCCUUGAGCCGUAUAUGGUCAACAAUCCGCUAGCUGUCUUGCUCUGACUGGUGCACUGGACAUGAUUUCAAUAGUCAGCCAGACCAUGAUUGAGCUUAAGGAUUGUGCUGCGAAUGCAGCCUGUGCAGUUCCGGGAGAAAGUCACUGUCUUGGGCAAUGCGGUCUGGUAUCAGGUCUGGAUGAUCCUUGCCUGACUGCGGGUUUGUGUACACCUCAAUCCGACUCUGUGUCCUGAACAGAGGCCGCAGUGGUGCAGCGCUUGUGGACGAUCCAUCAACAUCCUGAAAGGUCAACACUACACCAAGCUGGGAAAAUUGAUCCUGAUAGUCAUCCCCAGGUAGUGGAAUGAAUGUACACUGAGCUACAGAGGAAUCACACCCAAAUGACUUUCCUGCCACGACAUUAGUGUGGCCACUCGCGUAGGAAUUCCUUAGCCAACGUGCUCUUUUGCAUGGUGACUGUGGGCAUUUUUGCAAAACUUACGCUUUCAACACUGGAUUUUAAAGGGAAUAAUUAAUAAAAUGUCGCUAACAGGACUUAUUUAUAUGAGAGAGACUAUCUGGAUGCGCAUUAAGUGUCACUUUGUGUCGUAAGCUGUUGAAGGAGCGAUUUGCGCCUUUUUAAGUGUUAAUUUUGGGUAGCCGGCUUGUAUCGGCUUGAAAGCUGCAAAUUAUGCCUCUCAUCAUAAUAGCAUUAAUUUUUGUAAAUGCAAUGUGUAUGUUUAGAUUGUAAGUGAAGCUUUUAAUAAUAAUUUUCUUAAAAAACAUGAUUUUAUAUGCUGUCAGUGAGUUUUUUAUUGAAAAAAGUGCUUAAAAUUAAAAAAAAAGUCUCCUUUUUCAUCAAGAAAAGUACACUGAUUCACAAUCAAUACAUUUAUUUGGGCCUUUUGCUGAUAUAUUGGUGAAUUUCGCAUGCAAUGAUACCAGUUUUUGCCAUAAAAGUUACGCAUAACAAUAAUUGGAGACACAAAAUCAGCUGUCGUCACUUAGACUAAAAAUCAUGCAUUCCGACUUGACUGCGGCCAAUUUAGUCACCGCUUUAAAUGGCCAUUUUAAGGCCUUUACACCCAUCCGAAUGCACUGAAAUUGCAUAUUCAUUGUGGAAAUAGUUGAAAUCUCAUGUGGAGAAAGUUUGAAAAAGAUAGGACAAUGUUGAGUUCCCUUAAAGGUUACAUUACACUAAAUCAUUGUGUAUCCCUCCGUGUUCCAUUCGAAAGUAGUGCCUAUUUCUAAAGAGUUCCUUUUCUCUUCUUGAAUAUAAGCCAUUUAACAAUGUGAGACAUGUCUUUUGUGGUUAUUUGUAAUAUCCUGUAUGUGUCUGGAGUACUUUGAUGCCUUGGAUUGGAAGCUAACUUAAAAGAUGAACUUUUGAGGGUGUGU